UGUAUUGAUAUUCGGAUGCUUCUGGGUUAAGGAAGUCGUCUUUCGCUCCUUGAAGUUGAAUCUUUUUGGGGUUUAUUAAUGUUUUGCAAUUUUGCAAUUAUUAUUUGGACUCUUCAUUUGUCCUGUUUCCUUAUUCUGAAGAAUUUCAUCGAGCUUCUGCAUUUUGGGUUCGUAGUUUUGAUCAUGGAGGCACUAGCUUUUUGCCGUAAUUCACACACUUGAAAAGAAUAUCGGAGAUUCCAUUUCCGAUGAUGUCAUUUAUCUUAGCCUCUUGGUGAUCCCCCAUCAAUAGUUGGGCAUCAUUCAUCGAUGGCAGCCUGGGCGAUAGGUCACUCAUCAAAGGCACAACUCAUUGCUUCAUCCGACAAUGAUCAAAAUUGUUAGUCCCACAUUUGUGGUCCAUACCGUUGCUGCGAACGCCAUUCACUACAAGAAAAAUGAUCUAAGCCUGCGGUUUAGACCCGGCGGUCUUAAUGACCACCACUAUAGUGAUAUCUGAAGAACUGCUUACAUUGGUUUUUCGGGAACAGGCGCGACGGUCUAAAAUAAGAGAUGCGACGGUUUUAAAUUUAAACCAGAUUUAAAAUUUUCCUGCGCCUCUUCGUCUUCUCUUUUCUCAUUUUCCUCUUCUCGCCCUCUUUGUAUCUCCCUCCUCUCUAACUUCGCAUCCCCAGAACUCUCUCUCUCUCUCGCUCUCAUUUUUUUCAUUCUCUCUUUUUCUAUUUCUUUUUAUUCUAAACCUGAAGCAUGCGGGAGAUUGGAUGUGCGCUCCAGCCAUGAACUCUCCAUUCGAUCAAACUACUUACAAUCCCUAACCUCAUAAUCUCUCACUCUCCAGAGCCAAAUCCCCUAUCAAAUCCAUUCAUCCAUCGCAUUGCAUUUUUUGGAUCGAUGAUUCCUCAGGUUUACUGCAGUAAAUCUGAUUGUAAGUACUGAUUGCAAAUAAAAGAACCAUAUAAAAAGGACCAUGAGGCAGAAUGUGGUAAGUUUGAGGAAACAAUACCAGAAAAGAGCCAAAGCAAUAUAGUGAGUAGCCUAGCUGAGAAAGCCAUAUCAGUUGCUGCUCCUGUGGUACCUACCAAAAGUGACGGUGAAGUGGAUCAGGAAAGAAUUCUUUGGUUUAUCUGCAUGGUGCUUGUUCUGUCACCAGUGGUUAUUCCUCUCUUUCCAACACUAGUGCAAGACUGGGCAGCACAAAAUUCUUCUGGAAUUGCUAAAUAUGCUUGCAUCUUAGGCCUUUAAACUGCUAUUAUGAUCCUUAUUUACAAAGACGUUCAAUUAGCUCAUGACUAGGGCCAAUUCAAGACCGGUCUAAUUGGGCUCAAGUUUGAUCCUAUGGAAUAAGGUGAUCCAAAGCUCAUAGGAGUUCAAUUUCUCAAGACGAUUUAUGGGAUUUCACUGAAUCAUUUCAAAUUGUGGGACUUGGCUGCUACAGUAGUCCUCAUAUCCUACAGGCUUAUCUUCUUCAUCAUACUCAAGUUCAAGGAGAGAGUAUUACCAUAGCUCCACUCAUUUUAUGCCAAGAGAACACUUGCACUCCUUAAGAGGAGGCCUUCAUUCACAAUGAAGCCGCCUAUGGUCAAGAAGCAGCGCCAACCUUCUCUCCCAUUAUCUUACCAAGAGGAUCUCAACUCUCCACUCCCCUAAAGUGCAAGGAUCUGUGCAGGAUAACAGAACUAGAAACAAGGUGGCAAUGUUGGUUGGAAAAUGGGAUGAGCAAUGUAUUAUGUGUUGGGAGAUCCUACUAUAAAGCCAAAGGGGUAUGAUCCCGUGUCAGAAGCUAUGUUGUUAUGGAAAUGAGACAAGUCAGUCACUCAAACAUGAUACAACUUGACACCUGACCUACUGGAGAAGUUGCCUCCAACUGAUUCAAGAUUCAGGCUAGAUCAGAAGCUUUUGGAGAAUGGGGAAUAUGAACUAGCAAAUGUAGAGAAGCUUAGACUUGAACAGCUACAGAGACAGGUUGUAGAGGAAGAAGGUUGCUUUGUAAGAAGGCCCUUAUGGAUGCUCAAAUACCAAACCAUGUUUUACAGUUCAUGCUCAAAUUCCAAUUAUAAGUGAUGCAGUGCUAAUAUGCAGUGCUAUAGAAUAUUUUGAACUACUAUUGAUAUUCCAAUUAAUUGCUUAGAAUUCAGCCCAUGUAGAUUUUAGUUACUAUUCCUAUCUUUAUAGUUAAGUUCUUGUACUAUUUAUAUGUCAACUGGAUAUUGUAUUUGAACAAUGUCUUUUGGAUAUUUUAAUAUAUAAUCUUUGAAUUAAUAGAUUUCAUUUUAAA